UACGGGGGGGGUAAGCGUUGUUCGGCAUUAUUGGGCGUAAAGGGCGCGUAGGCGGCUUGUUAAGUCGGUUGUGCAAGCCCGGGGCUCAACCCCGGAGAGUCGACCGAUACUGGCGAGCUAGAGUACGGAAGAGGUAGCUGGAAUUCCCGGUGUAGCGGUGAAAUGCGGAGAUAUCGGGAGGAACACCUGAGGCGAAGGCGGGCUACUGGGCCGAUACUGACGCUGAGGCGCGAAAGCCAGGGGAGCAAACGGG
rnacentral:rRNA from 1 species